rnacentral:lncRNA from 1 species
AUGCUUUACAGCACUUUGACUCACCUGAAAACACUCAAGGAAUUACAUGGCAAGGUGAACAGAAGUACAAGGCAGACUUGCAGCAAGUGGAGUAGUGAAUAUUGUGGAUAUUGUGAUGAGACUUGGGUGCAGACACAGCAUCCUGGUGUGGCCACAGACAUGUGGAUCAGCACUGAGAAGUGGCAUGUGGCAAGGCUGGGUUGGUGGAGACCCAGAAGCUUCAUAUCUGGGGAAGCAAAAGGAAAAGCUGAGCACAGACAGGUGAGGGAUAUCCCAGUACCAAAUUAGCUUCAACCUGCCAAGGGCACUGGGGAUAAAAUGUAUGUGAAAUGAGGAACCUGUUUUAUCCUCAAUAGAAGCCUGCAGUGGUGUCUGGCAUAGAACACAUGCUGUUUGUGGCAAAUAGGUGUAUUUUUGACAUUAUUCCAUUACUCAGAUAUGACAUCUAUGGCAUUAGAUUGACUCUCUCAUCUCUGUUUAGUUUAUCUUGCAUGAGAAUUUUGACAGGGGAGGAGAUGAAAAGAUGUAUGGUAUCAAAUUGCUGACAACAGUGCAACAAUGCCAGAACAUGAUAAAUUUCUUGCUCAGUUUUACCUAAUCUGGCACAAUCAUACCUUAGGGUCAGUUUAGGAACAAGGUACUUAGAGAUAGCCCUGUCUUAGGAAGCAGAGAAGGGAAGAGUUUGGCUGGGACUGUGGACAUGGUGUUUGGGUUGUGGUUUUUGAGGAAGAACAUUUGAGGAUUGAGGAACCAAACCCCACUUUUCAUUUAGACAAGUACAAACCCCUUUCUGCCCUGCCAAUGUCAUGCUGUGAGUUAAUAACCCUAAGUGUUGUACACAGGUCACUUUCACUGAUGUUUAAUUACAUAAACAUUGAUGAAGAAUACUUGACCAAUAUCAUGGCCAAACUGAUGUAAAACAGUUGAACAACACAGAUCAGGUGGCAAGAAAUCCAUGGCAAUAGGAAUGUGCAGUGGUCUCUUGUGCCUUUCCUUGUGUGCUGCAAGAUUAUCCAAAUUUCUCACAGUUUCUUGUUAGGCUUUAUAUGAGCUUGUCCCCUAUCUGAACCCUACUUGCCUCAGACAGUGCUCUUUGCUGUCUUUUCCAAAUGUGAUUGCACCCUCUAUUGCAUGAAUUAGAGCUGCUUUUCUACAGACAAAUGGCACGAUUCCUUUUAUUCCUACUGUGACUAGUGAUUUAUGUGCCAUCUUCCUGAUACAAUAAAUUCUACAAGACCUAAAUACUAAUAUAUACU